rnacentral:rRNA from 1 species
CCUACGGGAGGCAGCAGUGGGGAAUAUUGCGCAAUGGGCGAAAGCCUGACGCAGCGACGCCGCGUGAGGGAUGAAGGCCUUCGGGUUGUAAACCGUCUUUCAGCAGGGACGAAAUCAGACGGUACCUGCAGAAGAAGCACCGGCCAACUACGUGCCAGCAGCCGCGGUAAUACGUAGGGUGCAAGCGUUGUCCGGAAUUAUUGGGCGUAAAGAGCUCGUAGGCGGUUUGUCGCGUCGGCUGUGAAACUCGGGGCUCAACCCCGAGCCUGCAGUCGAUACGGGCAGACUAGAGUGCUGUAGGGAGACUGGAAUUCCUGGUGUAGCGGUGAAAUGCGCAGAUAUCAGGAGGAACACCGGUGGCGAAGGCGGGUCUCUGGGCAGUAACUGACGCUGAGGAGCGAAAGCGUGGGGAGCAAACAGGAUUAGAUACCCGUGGUAGUCCACGCCGUAAACGGUGGGUGCUAGGUGUAGGUCGUAUUCCACGCGAUCUGUGCCGNAGCUAACGCAUUAAGCACCCCGCGUGGGGAGGUACGGCCGCGACGACGUAAACUACGAAGAAGUAGACGGACGUGAGACGUCGCCGACGGACGACGACGAGGGAGGUAGG